rnacentral:misc_RNA from 1 species
CAAGAAGCCGAAAGGCUCUACUUAAAACCAUCGCGAACUUAUCCAAGUUGCUUCGGCGGCGCGGCUCCCCUCACGGGGGACCGCAGCCCCCGCCCCGCUCAGGAGGUAAGGGGCAGCCGCCGGAGGUACGAAACUCUGUAUUAUAGUGGUAUCUCUGAGUAUAAAACAAAUAAGUU